AGAAUCAACGCUGGCGGCAUGCCUAACACAUGCAAGUCGCACGAGAAAGGGGAGCAAUCCCUGAGUACAGUGGCGCACGGGUGAGUAACACGUGAAUCAUCUACCUCCGAGUGGGGAAUAACCUAGAGAAAUCUGGGCUAAUACCGCAUAACACUUACGAGUCAAAGCAGCAAUGCGCUUGGAGAGGAGUUCGCGGCCGAUUAGCUAGUUGGCGGGUAAUGGCCCACCAAGGCGAUGAUCGGUA
rnacentral:rRNA from 1 species